CACGGACCAAGGAGUUCAACAUAUGCGCGGGUCGUUGAGUGUCUGGUAUACUCGAAGGCCUAGUGAAAGCAAGCUACAUCAUUUGGUGGUGUAAUAGCGGCGAGAUCCUGGCGCACACACGUGUACUAGGCGCAUCGCCGACCCGUUUAUUGGCCACGCGCCAUGGACGGAGUUCGAGCGCAUACGCUGAGACCCGAAAGAUGGUGAACUAUGCCUGGGCAGGAUGAAGCCAGAGGAAACUCUGGUGGAAGUCCGUAGCGAUUCUGACGUGCAAAUCGAUCGUCUGACCUGGGUAUAGGGGCGAAAGACUAAUCGAACCAUCUAAUAGCUGGUUCCCUCCGAAGUUUCCCUCAGGAUAGCUGGUGCUCGAUUUUAAGCAGUCUCUCCCGGUAAAGCGAAUGAUUAGAGGCCUUGGGACCGAAACGGUCUCAACCUAUUCUCAAACUUUAAAUGGGUGAGAAGUCCGGCUUACUUAAUUUGAAGUCUGGACCAUAGUUUGGAUGCAUGAGUGCCUAGUGGGCCAUUUUUGGUAAGCAGAACUGGCGCUGUGGGAUGAACCGAACGUUGAGUUACGGCGCCUGAUUAUAGACGCUCAUCAGAUACCACAAAAGGUGUUGGUUGCUAUAGACAGCAGGACGGUGGCCAUGGAAGUCGGAACCCGCUAAGGAGUGUGGAACAACUCACCUGCCGAAGCAACUAGCCCUGAAAAUGGAUGGCGCUAGAGCGUUUAGCCUAUACUCAACCGUUGAAGCACAUGCGGCGGUAAGCAAUUGCCGUUCUUUUAUGCUUUUAUGGCAUACGCAUGCUAGUCACGCUUCAACGAGUAGGAGGGUCGCGGCC
rnacentral:rRNA from 1 species